rnacentral:RNase_P_RNA from 1 species
AGGGUAGAGCAGAUGGCCGCCGUCCCGAAUUUUCGGGAGGGAGGAAAGUCCGAGCUCCACAGGGUAAGCGUAGUGGGUAACGCCCAUCGCUUCGUUCUUUUUAGAGCGGAGUAGGAUUAUGCCGAAUGGAGAAUCUUCAUAGAAGAUUUUCUUCGGCAUCCCGAAGUUAUGCUUCUUUAGUGAAGCUGCAUUCGGGAGAGCCACAGAGACGACGACUCAACUUGCCGUAAGGUAAGGAAGAGGGUGAAAAGAGGUAAUCUCUACGCGGAGCAAGGUCGAAUAGGGAAGGAUGCCUGCGGGCCUGCCCGCCCUGCAUUUUAAUAGGCAGGCGGGCCUGCCCGCCUUGCAUCUUAAUAGGCAGGCGGGCUUUUAUGGCAACGAGCUGACCCGGCUCGUCAUAACUUUCGGGUUGACCGCUGAUGAUCCUGCCGGUAACGGCAGGGCUAGAUGGAUGGCCGUCAAAUACAGAACUCGGCUUAUAGCUCUAUCCUCUUU